rnacentral:tRNA from 1 species
GGGUCGUUAGUGUCAAUGGUUAGCACAGGAGACUUUUAAUCUCCUCAGUCUGGGUUCGAAUCCCAGGCGACCUACCA